rnacentral:tRNA from 1 species
GCACUCUUAGCUCAGUUGGUAGAGCAGUUGACUCUUAAUCAAUUGGUCGGGGGUUCGAGUCCCCCAGAGUGCA